AGUGCUUAAGUGCUACUGUGGCUGCUAACCAAAAGGUUGGUGGUUCAAAUCCACCAAGCGCUC
rnacentral:tRNA from 1 species